rnacentral:rRNA from 1 species
GUCAGCGGGUAUCCCUACCUGAUCCGAGGUC